AGUGAACGCUGGCGGUAGGCCUAACACAUGCAAGUCGAACGGCAGCACAGUAAGAGCUUGCUCUUACGGGUGGCGAGUGGCGGACGGGUGAGGAAUACAUCGGAAUCUACUUUUUCGUGGGGGAUAACGUAGGGAAACUUACGCUAAUACCGCAUACGACCUACGGGUGAAAGCAGGGGAUCUUCGGACCUUGCGCGAUUGAAUGAGCCGAUGUCGGAUUAGCUAGUUGGCGGGGUAAAGGCCCACCAAGGCGACGAUCCGUAGCUGGUCUGAGAGGAUGAUCAGCCACACUGGAACUGAGACACGGUCCAGACUCCUACGGGAGGCAACAGUGGGGAAUAUUGGACAAUGGGCGCAAGCCUGAUCCAGCCAUACCGCGUGGGUGAAGAAGGCCUUCGGGUUGUAAAGCCCUUUUGUUGGGAAAGAAAAGCAGCAGGUUAAUACCCCGCUGUUCUGACGGUACCUAAAGAAUAAGCACCGGCUAACUUCGUG
rnacentral:rRNA from 1 species